rnacentral:rRNA from 1 species
CUGGGCGACGUCCCCCCUGUGCUGGGACCCGGUAUCGUCUACCGUGGAUCAGCAGCCAGGCUUGCCUGGUUCACAGAUUAGGUGGUGGCGGUCCCUUACGGGGAUCAAGAUAUAAUCGGUCGCCAUUGUCAACAGUGGUUGAGAAAACGUUCCGUAGGUGAACCUGCGGAAGGAUCAUUA